UACGAAGGGGGCUAGCGUUGUUCGGAAUUACUGGGCGUAAAGCGUGCGCAGGCGGCUUCUCAAGUCAGGGGUGAAAGCCCAGAGCUCAACUCUGGAAUGGCCUUUGAGACUAGAGGACUUGGGUACGGGAGAGGUGAGUGGAAUUCCGAGUGUAGAGGUGAAAUUCGUAGAUAUUCGGAAGAACACCAGUGGCGAAGGCGGCUCACUGGCCCGUUACCGACGCUCGGGCGCGACAGCGUGGGGAGCAAACAGG
rnacentral:rRNA from 1 species